AAUACAAGCCAAACAAAUCAUCAUUAUUACACCCUCAGAAUGCUUAUUUUCUCGGGAAAAUUCUAACAUACCUAUUUUCUCUCCAUCCAAACAAUAGAUCCGAUCCAAUCAAAUCCAAAUUCAAAUCUCAUUCAGAUCAAGAAUCGCAUUGCAGAUUUUGCAGAUUUCGAGAAUUAUUACAAUUUUUUAAUCAUCAUUUCGCGUUUGAAAUCGGGCGAAUCGUAGAUUCAAAUCGACAUGGCUAUGGUGGAUCAACCUCUAUAUCCAAUCG